rnacentral:tRNA from 2 species
GUUGGGAUAGCUCAGUUGGUAGAGCAGAGGACUGAAAAUCCUCG